GGGAGGGGUAAAAUGUUUAAAUACUCUGCACGCAGCCUGGAGCUUUCUCUUUGCUGCGUGCAACGGAUCACCUGGAGCACUUGGACCGUCUGGAGGACAGUGGAGCGAUCUUCUCAUUGUCUGGUUACAUUUCUUUAUUUUCCCCUUCUUUUUAAUCUUCUCUAGUCCCUUAAUUAAUUUAAUUCCCCCUUUUUUCUUUCUGUUUGAUUUCCCACCCCACCCCUUACCCUGCCCUUUGGGAAGAUUCUCCCUGUACCUGUGAGCGCUGCCUGUGCAUAAUCCUCCUGGGCUUGCCUUUUCCAAUAGGGAGAGAGCCCCCAUUAGGGGCUUUCUUUUGCAAAAAGUUUUCCCCAUUUUCGCCUGUUUAAUUGUCGGGCUAGCCAGGGCUGCUCCCAGCUUACCUGGAAUCACUUUCAUUUAUAGUAUCCCCAUAGGUUGGCUUUAUUUUGGGUGCAUGCAGUGCUGUUGGCCGAGUUUUAAUCUAGCCUUGGGCGGGCACACUAUUGAGUUCCUUUAAUACUGCAAUGAGACAAAAAAGGCAGAGAGCUGAAGCAGGGAGGCCUUCACGGCCUGCUCGGCCUGCACAUAUCUUUCAAGCCUAAGCCUGCUACAGUUAGCAGUACAGUGAAUUCCCAGCUUACCUGGAAUCACUUUCGUUUAUAGUAUCCUCAUAGGUUGGCUUUAUUUUGGGUGAUUGCAGUGCUGUUGGCCGAGUUUUAAUUUAGCCUUGGGCGGGAGCACUAUUUUGAGUUCCUUUAAUAUUGCAAUGAGACAAAAAAGGCAGAGAGCAGACGCAGGGAGGCCAUCACGGCCUGCACGGCCUGCACAUAUCAUUCAAGCCUAAGCCUGCUACAGUUAGCAGUACAGUGAAUUGUUAAGUUUCUGUAACAUGUGACUCAUUCUCUCUAUAAGAAUGUAUCUGUUGUUUGCAGGCUCACUUGUUGCUAAUGUAUAGCUUAGGCAGACAGAGUGGAGCCAGAGGCUCUCUGUGCCUCCAAUGAGCACUCUUUGUAUGCUCUUUAACUAUGCUGUUUCUGAACAAGUUUAUUUUCUUCAAGUUUGUUUUCCCUGAUAGUGGCGACUGCCAUUUUAGAAACGAGCCAUUGUGGCUUAGUGGCUAGAGUACAGGACUAGGACCUGGGAGACAGGGUUCAUAUCCCUCACUUAGCCAUUGUUAUAACAAGGCAAAACAAGCUGCUCCUUUUGGACUAUUUUGUUGCUGGGUAGUUUGGCCCAUUUGUGAUAUUGCUCCCAAAAAGAACUUUGGGUUUCUUGAGGAGGUGCUUCCCUCUAAAGGGCAAGCAGGGGUACCUGGACAUGCGGUGGGCUGCCUCGAGUUUGUUAUCUCAUUGGAAACAUUUAUGUCUGGCCUAGCAGGUGAUCCUAGGGCUUGGCCCGCUUGGCCCUAGAAUUUGAUGGCCUCUGGCAGCGUUUCUGGCCUGAAUAGCGUCCCCAUGUGGUGCACAAAGCAUUGGUUUCACCUGUUCCUCACAUUGUUUAGGUUUUUUCUUUUCGCAGACUAUGACAGGGCCUUUGCAGAUGCCUCCAGAGCUUGCCUCUCCUGCAGAGGAUGACUUGUUGAUGCCCCAGGUGCCUUCUUCAGGAAGGAGGCGUCUUCAGAGGCAGGAAAAAGCAUAGCAGGGAUGAUGCUUACACCUCCUUGCAGGUAAAUCAUCACUGGGCUCUGAUGAUGAUUCAGACAUCACCUUGGACCUCUCCAGGGGUCAGGGUGAGGCUGUUCCAGGUCUUUAGGGAGCAUCCUGGAUAGCUCAGCUGGUCAGCGUAUGGUGCCGGUAAUGCCUAGGUUGCAGGAUUGGUCCCUGUAUGGGACAGCUGCAUGCUCCCUCAUCACUUUACCCGGACACUGAGGUCCAGUGCCGAGGGCCUUUCUGGUGGUUCCCUCACUGUGAGAAGCCAAGUUACAGGGAACCAGGUGGAGGGCUUUCUCGGAAGUGGCACCUGCCCUGUGGUACACCCUCCCACCAGAUGUCUACUACCAGACUUUUAGAAGACAUCUAAGGCAGCCCUGUUUAGGGAAGCUUUUAAUGUUUGAUGCAUUACUGUAUUUUAAUAUUUUGUUGGAAGCUGCCCAGAGUGGCUGGGGAAGCCCAGCCAGAUGGGCGGGGUACAAAUAGAUGAUGAUGAUGAUGAUGAUGAUGAUGAUGAUGAUGAUGAUAUUGUGGGAGAGUGGACUAGAUGAUCCUAGGAGUCCCUUCCAACCCCACUAUUCUAUAAGUGGUAAUUCACUAUGAUGGGAAUGUUAGACGCAGGGCUGCCAUCAUCCCCUUAGCUCGCUAGGAUCGCAGGGACGGGGACAUGUGGACCACUUGCGCAGCUCCACAUUUCAAAUGGAAAUUCCCUGAGCAAUAGAACCUGAAGCUGGUAUGCAGGAAGCUGGCCCGGUGGCAGCUUUGUUGGGACUUCUUUAGGGUCUCUGGCCAGUGUUGGCCCUGUAAAUUUACACAUCAUGGUGGCAACACAAGGCAGGGCUUCUUGCCCAAGCGGGGCUGGCAAGCAAUAACUCAAUACCUCUCGCCCAUAUUUCCAUAAAAAUAUCUCCCUUUAAAGCCUGGCUAAAAGGUUAUCUAGAUGCGUCAGUAGCUUUGUGCUUGUGGGAAGGGUUUUUCUCCAAGGUUUCGGGAUUCCUCUGGCUUUUCAGCCAGUGGCUCAGAAUACAGCAACUCAAAAGUCAGUUAGAGUCUGUGGUAGCCAGAAAGUCUGUGGUAGCCAGAAAGAAGGUUAGGAAGCAGCUUGCAUUGGGACGUAUGGUGGGAUCCCCUUGAUUCUCCUUCUAGUCCCGAUUUUCAUUUAUCCCCAUUGGGGAUCGUCCCUAAGAAAGCCCCAUAUAAUUCCAUCUGAUCCAUAUUUAUCGCACCCCAAAGGCACCUCAGUGAAUGAUGCUAUCCCUCCGGAAUUGUUCCGUGAAAUAUGCAUCUUUGGAUCAGGCAGUUGAGCUUACCAACAAAUUGGAGGAGGUGCCUUGUUGGCAUUAUGCGAUAUUGAAUCGGCUGUUAGGCUGCUGCCGGUUCACCCUCAAGAUUUUAAGUAGUUAGGCUUUAAUUGGAUGGUCCUUAUAUGGAUAAGGCGAUGCCAGUUGGUUGCUCAAUAGGCUGUGCAGCACUUGAGUCCUUUAGCGCCUUUCUGGAUUGAACAUUGCGAGUCAAGACUCUUUUAACUGGGGGUAUCGUUAUGUGGAUUAUUUUACUGGCUGGUUCAUGUGACACCAGCCUCUGCUUAGCUUACUAGAUGCCCCUUUAUUCCCUGAGGAGCUGGGUGUUCUGUUGGCAGUGGAGGACAGUGGCUCCUACUGCCCCUUUUAAUGUAUUUGGGGGCUAGCUGGAUACCGUUGCUCAAACAUCUGCUUGCCUGUGGAAAAGCUGUUUGCCUUGAAGGAUGUUAUUCUUGUAAUACUUCCUCUGAGGCAAGUGUUGCUUUGUCAGAUCCUAUCAUUCCUAGGUCAGUUAAAUUUUGCAUGCAGGGUGGUUGCUCCAGGCUGCCCCUUCCAUUCCUGCUUGGCCAGGUGGUCUCAUGGCCCGGUGUCCCUUCAUCAUCAUGUACAGUGGCCUUGAGCCUGGCAGGGCAAGGCAAUCACAUGUAACCUAACUUUCUUGAGUUUUCCUCAUUGUAGUGUCAGCGCACAUCUGGACUGAGGAGUUUAGGGACCGUCAGGUCUGUCUUGGUCUGAUAACCAGGCAGUGUGAGAGUCCUGGCAAAACGGUCUUCAUGCUCUGGCAGAGUCUUCGCACUGCUUAAGGUUUAAUAUUGCGUUUCUGCUCACUUUAUUUCGGGAUCAUCUAAUGUUUUUGCUGUGGCUCUAUCCCGUUUUUUCAGUUGGAGAGCUUCAGAUCCUGGGCUCUGGACACCCAGCUAUUUUUCUGGAGCUCCUGUGGCACUUGGCGACAAUUAAUAAUUAUGAGGAAUAGUAGCUUACGUUUCCCCAUCCGCUUUCAGGUCUUAUGAGAAGGCCUGGACUGAUUUCUUAAAAUUUAGCUGGUAGUCCUCGGCCAUUCAGAGGAACCUGCCCCCAUCCUCUGAGCAGGACCUGCAGUAAUUCGCCCACCUGCUGCAGAUAGGAUGCAGUGUUAAAACUAUCAGAAUUCAGUCCGCUGCAAUGUCUGCUAGAGUAAAGCUUUAAUUUUCAGAGACCCUUCUAAAAGUGUGUCAUGCGCAGGGUCUCGGAAGGUUGGAAUAGGCUCUGACCUUCACAGGACAGCAGGCAGGAAGCCGGUCAAUCUUUGACCUAUGCAGUAUCUGCAACAAGUUGAGACUUGUUGGCUGGUUCAAGAUCAAGACGAGACUUAUUUCAGUAUUCCAUUGUAAUUUUGGUGUACUGAGGGUUGGGGAAAUUGUGUUGGAGCCAGCACGGGGCUGAGAGUUUGGAGGCUUAUUGCCACAGGACUUUUCCUUAUCUGCUUUGGAGCUUGUCAUAAGUGUCUGGAGCUCUAAGUCAGACCUAGUGAGCAGGGUUGCCACCAUCAGGCUUCCAGUCACAGGUGAGGUGGGCCCUUGCCCUGUUAUUGGAUACCGGAAAUAUUUGGCUUUUCGUUCCCCUGGGGGCUGGCUCAAUCCUAGUGCACAGAAAUGGGUUCCGGUUCGACAGGCAUCUAAUUGCUCACGUCGUGCGCCAGUUAUUGCAGCCUGCGGCUUGCCUACCGCUGAACACGCCUCAUUCCUUCCAAAUAGGUGCUGCUGCAAAGGCUGCGCAUUGGGGCCUGUUAGUAGACAGGAUUGUGAAUACGGGUCAUUGGAAGUCUGACGCUGACAAAGGUUAUGUCAGGAAGCAUCGCCAAUGAUGCCUGUGCUGAUGCCUGUCUGUUAUUCCUUUUUCAUAGGAGCAGCUGUGCGCAUUUGGAUUGUCGGCCACAGCAUCAUGCACUGAGCUGGCAAGCACCCUGACGAGUCUGGACUGGGGGCGCCAUCUCGGCCUUCCUGCCCAUGUUUCUAGCUCCAGUCCGCAUCUGGAUUGUGGGGCACAGCAUCGUUUACUGGGCUGGCAUCAGAGCUAGGCAGUCUGGAAGGGGACUGGGUCUUGGCCUCCCGCAGUAUGUGCAGGUGUUGUGGAUGUCCAGGCGCAGAAUGCAGUGGAGCGAAUUCAUCCCGCUAAUUAAGCAGAGGGUGCUUUGGAUGGCCCCCAUGGCAAUUGUGGUUCAGCUGGGGGGGAACGAUGUGGCAACUUAUGAUUGCUUUACUUUGCGCUCCACGAUUCAGAGAGACUUGGGUGAAUUGGUGACCUUAAUACCCACAGUUAAAAUAUUUUGGUCACAAUUGCUGCAAAGGCGCAAUUGGCACGGCAUUUCUCGACCUGAGGCUGCUGAAAGGGCCAGGAAGCGCAUUAAUUCUGCAGUGUGUAAGAAGGUGGCGGAUUUGGGUGGAUUGGUUAUUUCCCGCCCGGAUAUUACCUUCAAGGCUCUGGCCCUUUACCGCAAUGAUGGAGUACAUCUCUCUGUACUGGGGAAUGAUGUUUGGUUGGAUGCGGUAACUGCAAGGUUGAAGGUUGGGUUGGGAUUGUGAGUGGUUGGCGGCGAGCGUAAAGGGCUCGAUUGGCGGUUAGGCAUUGGUUAUAAAUUGGUGGAGGAGGGGUUAGGAUAGGCUGGGCCUGCCCCUCCAUGGUUGCUGCGGAAAGGGAAUUCCGUUAAAGGAAUCCUGGGGCUUGCCAUCUUUUCGUCCAAUCCCUGGAAUGGGACUAGGGCCGGCAAGCCUUCGGGAGCAUGCGGGUGAGAAUUGAGGGUCUGUGGCCCAGCUCCAUUUUUCUCCGACUUGCUUUCCCCGCACUGUCUUUCGGUGGUGCCCGGAAGUCAGUUCUGUCCCCAGGCGGGGGACAGAUAGUCUUAACCAAUGCCUAAACAACCACUCACGGUUUUGUAUUUAAAUAAAGUUGUGGCCAAAAUUAUGCCAAAAACCUUAAACAAAAAUUAAGUGUGCGUUGUGAGUUAUUUGGGGGGUGGCUUGGGGACCUCGACACGCAAAGCGUGUUCUCCUUCAUGGAGAGCACGUGUUGCGGUGGGGUCUGCUGAGCCACCCCUCUGUUACCAGGCAGGGUCUCUAAAGAUGGCCUGGGGCAGUGAUUGGUUCACUGGGUUGCUGGGGUAAAAGUUAUGUUGCAAUUUUGGUGGGAGGGGUAAAAUGUUUAAAUACUCUGCACGCAGCCUGGAGCUUUCUCUUUGCUGCGUGCAACGGAUCACCCGCCCACCCGCCCUUGAGUAAGGGGUUGUUGCAUUGACCUUGCUAUGCCUGUCAUGGGGUCGUCUGCCGUUGGGGCAGGGGCCUGGUAGGAAUUUUGUCCAUCUGGCUGAUUGGCUGGGCCAUUUGGUUUUUGCCUACUGCGUAGCAAAUCGUCACAACUUGUAAGGUUGUGGUUAGGCAUUGGUUAUAAAUUGGUGGAGGAGGGGUUAGGAUAGGCUGGGCCUGCCCCUCCAUGGUUGCUGCGGAAAGGGAAUUCCGUUAAAGGAAUCCUGGGGCUUGCCAUCUUUUCGUCCAAUCCCUGGAAUGGGACUAGGGCCGGCAAGCCUUCGGGGAGCAUGCGGAUGAGAAUUGAGGGUCUGUGGCCCAGCUCCAUUUUCUCCGACUUGCUUUCCCCGCACUGUCUUUCGGUGGUGCCCGGAAGUCAGUUCUGUCCCCAGGCGGGGGACAGAUAGUCUUAACCAAUGCCUAAACAACCACUCACGGUUUUGUAUUUAAAUAAAGUUGUGGCCAAAAUUAUGCCAAAAACCUUAAACAAAAAUUAAGUGUGCGUUGUGAGUUAUUUGGGGGGUGGCUUGGGGACCUCGACACGCAAAU